AAGCUAAAAAUAGAACUGAGUGUAGUGUAAACAUUCCAUCCCCCCUAUCUCUUUCUCUUCUGGUGUCCGAGCUUGAAAAGCAAACCAACUUGACUGUUAAAGCCAAACCCAACUUUCAUAAUCGCUCAAACUCUAAUGCACCGCUUUUAUUUAUUUCUAUUUUGUAUGUAACUAUAUAUAUGUCUCACAUGACUGCAAUAACCGGCAACAAAACGACGAGGUGGUCGGAAAGCGACAACUUUUGAGUUUGAAUAAUAAUAAAAAAAAAAUGCCGCAAAAUGGUCUGGCCGGAGAAGCCCAGGCUUUGGGCGAGUCCGGUGGCCGGACGGUGGUGGUGGGGGUGAAGCUAGACUCACCUAGCAGAGAACUGCUGACAUGGGCUCUGGUCAAGGUGGCUCAGCCUGGUGACCUUGUUGUUGCUCUUCACGUUCUUGGACAUGAUGAAAUUGUGGAUCGAGAUGGGAAGUCAUCUCUGCUUUCGCUUGUCAAAGCAUUUGACUCUGUUUUUGACGUCUAUGAAGGUUUCUGCAACCUCAAACAGGUGGAUCUCAAGCUUAAGAUUUGCAGAGGUACAUCAAUUAAAAAAAUUUUAGUUCGGGAAGCACAAUCUUAUUCUGCUGCUACUGUUAUUGUCGGAACUGCUCGUAACCACCAUAAAUUGCGGCCAUCGACAUCGCUGGCUAAGUACUGUGCUAAAAAAUUGCCCAAGGAUUGUUGGGUUCUUGCUGUUAAUAAUGGGAAAGUUGUGUUCAAGAGAGAAGGGUCUCCAACAAGUGCAAGCUACUCCAAAGGAACUGAAGAUCAUCAUCGAAAUGGGUUGCUUAGAAUGAUUCAGGGGACACUGAAGAAGAACACGAAAGUACCGAACGAAGGCAAUGCCAGUGUGAGUUUAAAGGAGAGAUUUGAUAAUGGUACCUACCAAGAAUUGGAGGAGGGCUUAGCUAAAGCUGCUCUGGAUAGUAGAGAGAGUGCUAUGACGGAGAAAUGCUCAAUUUGUGAGUCGAACUCUGAUUUGCCAGAUAAUUGUGGUGAGCAAUCUGCAGAAGACUCUUCCAAUGAUGGCGUUGAAGACAAGUCUUUGGCUAUAGUGCCAGUACAGAAGGAAGAAGCAGCGUCUAGUUCAAUUUCUGUUUUGAAAAAAGAAUUACCAGAAUCAAAACCCGGCUGGCCAUUACUUCGUCGUUCUAUUCUGCCAGAUAAAAAAGAAUCUGAGAGGUCUUUGGUGCGGCAGAUCUCUGUGGUUCAAUGGGCAUUGCGGUUGCCUAGUAGAAAGUAUUUGUAUAUUACUAAUUCAGAUCACAAACAAAAUAGUUGUGAUCAGUGUGAAGAUCAGUCCUCAACUUUAGAUAGUGAGAGUGGCGCUAUUGUUCCAGUGGAUACCAAGACAUCGACUGCUCCACCUUCACCUGAACGCAAUUCCAGCAGCCCACCAAAAGAAUUGGAGGGUCUUCAUGAGAAACACUCAUCAAGUUGCAGAUUGUUCAAGUACCGAGAACUCCUUUCAGCAACAUCGAAUUUUUCGCCAGAAAACUUGAUUGGGAAAGGAGGCAGCAGUCAAGUUUAUAGAGGCUUCCUUCCUGACGGGAGGGAACUCGCUGUGAAGAUCUUAAAGCCAUCUGAAGAUGCUUUGAGGGAGUUUGUCUUGGAAAUAGAAAUUAUUACUACCUUACAUCACAAGAACAUUAUUUCCCUUGUGGGGUUCUGCUUUGAGGAUGGCAAUCUUCUCUUGGUUUAUGAUUUCUUAUCAAGAGGAAGCCUUGAAGAGAACCUUCAUGGGAAUAAGAAAGAUCCUCUUGCAUUUGGUUGGAGUGAGAGAUGUAAAGUGGCUGUGGGUGUAGCUGAGGCCUUGGAAUAUCUGCACAGUGGCAGUGCUCAACCUGUGAUUCACAGAGAUGUUAAAUCAUCAAAUAUACUAUUAUCUGAUGAUUUUGAGCCACAGCUCUCUGAUUUUGGACUUGCAGUAUGGGCAUCAACCUCCUCAUCACACAUAACCUGCACCGAUGUUGCAGGCACCUUUGGUUACUUGGCUCCUGAAUACUUCAUGUAUGGUAAGGUAAAUGACAGGAUAGACGUCUAUGCAUUUGGUGUUGUACUUCUUGAGCUUCUUUCAGGAAGAAAGCCUAUAAGCAGUGAAUAUCCAAAAGGCCAAGAAAGCCUAGUCAUGUGGGCCAAGCCAAUUCUAAAUGAUGGAAAGGUGUCCCAAUUAUUAGAUCCAAGCUUAGGCGAUAACUAUGAUCAAGACCAGAUAGAGAGGAUGAUAUUAGCUGCCACACUUUGUAUUAGGCGUGCCCCACGAGCUCGGCCUCAAAUAAGCAUUGUUUUGAAGCUCCUUCAAGGUGAUAUUGAGGUUACCAAGUGGGCAAGGCUACAAGUUAAUGCUUCAGAAGAAUCCGACAUGCUGGAUGGCGAAGCUUGUCCACGUUCUAAUCUACAGUCACAUCUUAACCUUGCAUUGCUUGAUGUGGGGGAUGAUUCACUCUCCAUGAGCAGCAUUGAGCAGAGUGUGUCACUAGAGGACUACUUGCAAGGCAGGUGGAGCCGCUCAUCAAGCUUCGACUAAGCACAGUACUGGCUAAUUGCGAGUAAAAAUUGGUGUCUCCAUUGUGUGAUUCUUUUGUACAUUCUUUUGUUUUUCCCUGCCAUUUCAUUGGCUUUUGUGUCUUCACUCGGUUUCAUAUAGAUGGGUUUUGGAUGAGAGGUUGUUUGUGGGUGUGCCCUCCUCCUUCCCCAAUUAGUUGAGAAUCUAGUCCCAAUUUGUUGGGGCUAGCUUCUUCUGAGAGAGAAAAGGAUGGUUAAAAAAAUAAAAUAAGAGAACAAGUGUCAGUUUUAUUCCCAAAAAUCUCAAUCAAAAUGAGAGUGGAAUAUGUUGUAAUUUUAAGAGAUUAAUACUAUUGUGAUCACAACUAAACAUUGCUCAUAUCCAGAACAAGAUGGUUAGUAAGAGCUAUGCUGCA